rnacentral:rRNA from 1 species
UACGGGGGGGGCAAGCGUUGUUCGGAAUUACUGGGCGUAAAGGGCGCGUAGGCGGCCUGCUAAGUCACACGUGAAAUCCCUCGGCUCAACCGGGGAACUGCGUGUGAUACUGGCGGGCUUGAAUGCGUGAGGGGUUACCGGAACGAGCAGUGUAGCGGUGAAAUGCGUAGAUAUUGCUCGGAAGGCCAGAGGCGAAGGCGGGUAACUGGCACGCAACUGACACUGAGGCACGAAAGCGUGGGGAGCAAACAGG